UACGAAAGGUGCAAGCGUUACUCGGAAUCACUGGGCGUAAAGCGCACGUAGGCGGACUUUCAGGUCAAUUGUGAAAUACCUGGGCUCAACCCAGGAACUGCAGUUGAAACCGUUUGUCUUGAAUACUUGAGAGGGUGGGGGAAUACCUGGUGGAGAAGUGAAAUUCGUAGAGAUCAGGUGGAACACCGGAGGCGAAGGCGCCUGCCUGGCAAUGUAUUGACGCUGAGGUGCGAAAGUGCGGGGAGCAAACAGG
rnacentral:rRNA from 1 species